rnacentral:rRNA from 1 species
UCAAGCGAACAAGUGCAUGUGGUGGAUGCCUUGGCGAUCACAGGCGAUGAAGGACGCGGUAGCCUGCGAAAAGCGGUGGGGAGCUGGCAAACGAGCUUUGAUCCACCGAUAUCCGAAUGGGGAAACCCACUCCGAAUGGAGUAUCCAUGACUGAAUCCAUAGGUCAUGUGAGGCGAACGCGGUGAACUGAAACAUCUAAGUAACCGCAGGAAAAGAAAUCAACCGAGAUUCCCAAAGUAGUGGCGAGCGAAAUGGGAGCAGCCUGUACUCUUUAUUCUCAUUGUUAGCCGAACGCUCUGGAAAGUGCGGCCAUAGCAGGUGAUAGCCCUGUAGGCGAAAACAGCGAGGAAGAACUAGGUGUACGAGAAGUAGGGCGGGACACGUGAAAUCCUGUCUGAAGAUGGGGGGACCAUCCUCCAAGGCUAAAUACUCGUGAUCGACCGAUAGUGAACCAGUACCGUGAGGGAAAGGCGAAAAGAACCCCGGGAGGGGAGUGAAACAGAUCCUGAAACCGCAUGCAUACAAACAGUCGGAGCCUCGUAAGGGGUGACGGCGUACCUUUUGUAUAAUGGGUCAGCGACUUACAUUCAGUGGCAAGCUUAACCGAUUAGGGCAGGCGUAGCGAAAGCGAGUCCGAACAGGGCGUUCAGUCGCUGGGUGUAGACCCGAAACCAGGUGAUCUAUCCAUGGCCAGGAUGAAGGUGCGGUAACACGUACUGGAGGUCCGAACCCACUAACGUUGAAAAGUUAGGGGAUGAGCUGUGGAUAGGGGUGAAAGGCUAAACAAACCUGGAAAUAGCUGGUUCUCUCCGAAAACUAUUUAGGUAGUGCCUCGUGUCUCACCUUCGGGGGUAGAGCACUGUCAUGGUUGUGGGGUCCAUUGCGGAUUACUACGCCAUAGCAAACUCCGAAUACCGAAGAGUGCAAUCACGGGAGACAGACAUCGGGUGCUAACGUCCGGUGUCAAGAGGGAAACAACCCAGACCGCCAGCUAAGGUCCCCAAAUAUGGCUAAGUGGGAAACGAAGUGGGAAGGCUAAAACAGUCAGGAGGUUGGCUUAGAAGCAGCCAUCCUUUAAAGAAAGCGUAAUAGCUCACUGAUCGAGUCGUCCUGCGCGGAAGAUGUAACGGGGCUAAGCCAUAUACCGAAGCUGCGGAUGCAUAUUUAUAUGCAUGGUAGGAGAGCGUUCCGUAAGCCUGCGAAGGUGCACUGGAAAGUGUGCUGGAGGUAUCGGAAGUGCGAAUGCUGACAUGAGUAGCGAUAAAGGGGGUGAAAGGCCCCCUCGCCGUAAGCCCAAGGUUUCCUACGCAACGUUCAUCGGCGUAGGGUGAGUCGGCCCCUAAGGCGAGGCAGAAAUGCGUAGCUGAUGGGAAGCAGGUUAAUAUUCCUGCACCAUUGUUGAAUGCGAUGGGGGGACGGAUCGCGGAAGGUUGUCCGGGUGUUGGAAGUCCCGGUCCUUGCAUUGGAGAAGGCGCUUUGGCAAAUCCGGGCGCGGAAUUCAAGGGUGCGAGGCCAGUCUCUUCGGAGACGAAGCAAUCGGAAGUGGUUCCAGGAAAAGCCUCUAAGCUUCAGUUCAACAAGACCGUACCGCAAACCGACACAGGUGGGCGAGAUGAGUAUUCUAAGGCGCUUGAGAGAACUCGGGAGAAGGAACUCGGCAAAUUGGUACCGUAACUUCGGGAUAAGGUACGCCCCUGUAGCUUGACUCGCCUGCGCGAGGAGGGUGAAGGGGUUGCAAUAAACUGGUGGCUGCGACUGUUUAAUAAAAACACAGCACUCUGCAAACACGAAAGUGGACGUAUAGGGUGUGACGCCUGCCCGGUGCCGGAAGAUUAAAUGAUGGGGUGCAAGCUCCUGAUUGAAGUCCCGGUAAACGGCGGCCGUAACUAUAACGGUCCUAAGGUAGCGAAAUUCCUUGUCGGGUAAGUUCCGACC